UACGUAGGGGGCUAGCGUUGUCCGGAUUUAUUGGGCGUAAAGAGCGUGUAGGCGGCCAGGUAGGUCCGUUGUGAAAACUCGAGGCUCAACCUCGAGACGUCGGCGGAAACCAUCUGGCUAGAGUCCGGAAGAGGAGAGUGGAAUUCCCGGUGUAGCGGUGAAAUGCGCAGAUAUCGGGAAGAACACCCGUGGCGAAGGCG
rnacentral:rRNA from 1 species